AACGAACGCUGGCGGCAGGCCUAACACAUGCAAGUCGAACGCUGUAGCAAUACAGAGUGGCAGACGGGUGAGUAACGCGUGGGAACAUGCCCUUUGGUUCGGAAUAACUCAGGGAAACUUGAGCUAAUACCGGAUACGCCCCGAAGCUUGGUCGCUUUGGGGGAAAGAUUUAUUGCCGAAGGAUUGGCCCGCGUCCGAUUAGCUAGUUGGUGAGGUAACGGCUCACCAAGGCGACGAUCGGUAGCUGGUCUGAGAGGAUGAUCAGCCACACUGGGACUGAGACACGGCCCAGACUCCUACGGGAGGCAGCAGUGGGGAAUAUUGGACAAUGGGCGCAAGCCUGAUCCAGCCAUGCCGCGUGAGUGAUGAAGGCCCUAGGGUUGUAAAGCUCUUUCGCCAGGGACGUUAAUGACGGUACCUGGAUAAGAAGCCCCGGCUAACUUCGUGCCAGCCGCCGCGGUAAGAC
rnacentral:rRNA from 1 species